CCUUCCUCUUUAUUUCUACCUAUCUCAAGUUGGUCAAGGUGACAGAUCCUGGAGCUCUGAUAUUGUGGAUUCAUUCAAGAAUUGGGGGGGAUCGUUCCUGCAAACAGCUCUUUCCAGAUACACUUAAUUUAGUACACGCCCCAUAAAACAGGAACACAAGUGUCAUUGCCUGGUCUGUGAGGGAUAAUGCACUGAAGCCGGAGACCGCGUGAGGUUUUGAGAUGUACCCAGACAACGGUGCUUCAUCCAUUAACCUAGACUGGAUACAAACCUUAGGACCCCAGAGGGAACUGGACCCGUUGCUAAGCAACAGGCCAAAUCCAACAAGGCUGGAAACUGGGUUUGGAGCCAUCAAAAGCAACAGAACGGGAAUGCAUGCUGAAGCAAGUCCAGAGAUCUUUGGAAGACAAAACAACGGAAAGGAGAUGAGAAGCCCCUGCAGAGAAGUCUCAGCAGGCUGUAGUUGAGCCUGAUUUAAUUACUGUCGAAUGUUAACCUGAAUGCCUACAGUCCCAUGCCAAUUAGGCAGCGAAAGAUAAAUGUGCUGAUAAAGGAAGAAAAUGAAACCUGGAAUCAGAGAAACCAAGCUCAGAAGAGGAAAACAGAGGAACGUAUCCAGGAGAAUGGGGAGGAAAAUCUGCAGAGAAAGAUCCAGAGCUUAGAAAUCAGUGAUGGCAGACAAACUGUUUACAGCACAAUUGUCACCACUGGCAAGUGGAGGCACUCUGAGAUUAUUUCGAAUACGUCUGUGAUGUUAACAGCUCUGGAAGAAGAAUGAGGAGAGAGAAAGAAGAUGAGAGUGUGAGGGUAGGAGGAAAGAGUGAAUGAAGAACCUCCCUAAUGUAGGUGAAGUGCGAUAAACACACAGAGCUUUUAAAUGCUGAUGCAUUCGAACUGUGUUCUCUUGCUCUGAUCUAUCUCGAGCAAGAACUUCCUGCUGAACUGAUUUUGUUAUUUACCCAAUGACUGGAAGGAACAAUGUACUCACCAACAGCUCACAAGCCGAACUGAUCCUGGCAGGUGGACCACAAUAUCUCACUGAAACGCAGUUGAAAGGAGAGGGAAAUGGUCACUCUGUGAAAGUGAUGCACUGAAAUACCAGUGGCCAAGGUAACACGCAGUGACCAGCUUCGAGAUGCCAGCUGACUCGGAGCCCUGGAGGUGAGGCACUUUGCCCAUAUCGGGGAGAGGCUGAGGUUACUAACGUCCCAUGCCACUGGAUGGAUCAGACUGUAAACAACCAGCAGGUUAAAACAAAACACACAGAAAAUGCUGUGAACGCUCAGCAGGUCAGGCAGCAUCAGUGUUGGGAGCGAACUUUUCAGGUUUGUCACCAUUCAACAUCAGAACUGCCAAAACCCUUGAUCUUUCUGAUAAGUCCCAGCCCCAUGUCCUCACCCAGCCUGUCAUUCAAUCCGAAGAAACAUACUAAACAUAGCAGCCAAUUUUGCACUCAGCAAUUUCCCAGAAAGUGCAAUGUGACAACAACCAGAUCAUCUAAUUUUGGUGCCAUGGGAUUUUUAAGAGAGAGGGUAGGCAGGGGCUGAUACAAUCAUAAAUGUCGCCACACUACCAGAAGGAUGUGGUGGCUUUGGAGAGGGUACAGAAAAGAUUUACCAGGAUGUUGCCUGAUAUGGAGGGCAUUA